rnacentral:lncRNA from 1 species
AAAGAACAUACUGGUCUCCCCUUAUUAAUUAGGAGUUUCAACGAACAAAAUAAGUUUAGAAUUCGAAACCAUACUAAUUACAUUCAAGAGCAGCAUUACAAAAACCUGAUUAGGUUGUAAAAAUACUGUUAAAGAAAAAGAUGAAAAUGUUUAUGACAGCAACAUUAUAUAUAGGAUCAUCACUGAAAAGCCAAGCACCGUACUAGUUCCUAUGGUCUUCUGUUCACCCGAUAUCCAGAUUUGAUUGUGUUACCCCAACUCGUCGAGUAUGAUCUUUGCACAAAUUGUACGACGCUUCUCCUUUAGCAACCAAACUAAAAAGAAUGAGCGAAAGAUGAUGAAUCCAACUAAGGGUGGAACAAAUGAAAUCUAUUUGCGGACACAACCUCCAUAAAACUAGAAAGAACAACCACUAGGACGAAAAGGAAGAAAGCUUUUAAGAAGAAAUGAAAAGGGAGGGGCUGCCAUCAGACACCAAUGACAGCCAUGGGAGCUAAGUUUUGAAAAGGGCAGUGUUGGAGAGAAAAAGUUGGAGCAAAGAGUUUAUAUACAUCAUAGGACUUAAUUAUUAUAACAUAAGUUU